CCCCUAGAUGUUCUGGACCGCACGCGCGCUACACUGAACAGUUCAACAAGUCUUAACCUUGGCCGAUAGGUCUGGGUAAUCUCCAAAUUUCGUCGUGAUGGGGAUAGAUUAUUGCAAUUAUUAAUCUUCAACGAGGAAUGCCUAGUAAGCGCAAGUCAUCAGCUUGCGUUGAUUACGUCCCUGCCCUUUGUACACACCGCCCGUCGCUCCUACCGAUUGAAUGGUCCGGUGAAGCGUUCGGACCGUGGCCUUUGGACGGUUCGCCGUCUGUUGGCUGCGGGAAGUUCGUUAAACCUUAUCAUUUAGAGGAAGGAGAAGUCGUAACA
rnacentral:rRNA from 1 species